rnacentral:lncRNA from 1 species
GAGUCUUGAGAAAGAUGGUCUUGGGUCAAGAAAGGAAGUGGGCUUUGCUUACCUUGGUCUGGAGUGCACGUAACAGACUCAUGUACCUACAGGCACGGUCCAGGAGGCUGGGGUGGAUGGAUCGAUGGAUUCACAGUGAUUUGUCCAAUAGAUUGUGAUCCAGAGCCUAGCUGUGAGAGUCACAGGUCUCAGAUUUGCUGCCAUCUGUACGGGGCAACCAUGGACAAACACCUUCUCCUAGGAUGAGUAAUCGUAGAAGCCAUGCUUAAUUGAGCCUCUGACAGGUUCAAGUGGCUGAUCACUUUAACAGCUUAGCUUUGGGGUAAACAUAUUAUUCCCAUUUUACAGACGCGGAAGCUGAGCUUGGGAGAUUUAGUAGCUCACUCAGGGUCACGAGGAAACGAGGUGGCGCUGCAUUUUACAUCCAGUGCGAGUGCACUCUCCCAGGGGGCAUCUUGGCAGUGGGGCACCGGGAAAGGAUUCUAAGUAGAAAGGUGACGCCGACAGACUCCUGCAGGGGGGUGGACUGCAUGGGAGCUACCAGACAGAAGGUGUUCUAAUGCAGGUCGGGGCGAGGCUGGAGCUAGGCAGAGGCCAUGGGCUGGAGAGACUGGGUCAGGCAUGAGCACAGGGUCCAGGGCCAAUCUCCCGAUUGUGGGGUCUGGGUGCACAGAGUGGUGGGAGACUCUGAGGGUGUCCAUGGCUGGCAGCACAUGGAGCCAUUGGCAGGGACAAAGAAGAGUGGCAAGUGAGCAGGGCUAGGGGACAGAGGAGAGCUCUGUGACCUGGAGGUGGCCCUGUCCUGGAGCCACGGAAGGGCCUCUGGGCACCCACAGCACAGCCUGAGAGGACCCAGGUCUUUUUUGGUUGGAAUCCUGUGUUUCCUAAGGGCUGCCCAGACGGGGCUCACAUUUUCCUGUUUAGUUUUUAGGAAUCAUUUGAAAUGGG